rnacentral:rRNA from 1 species
GACGAACGCUGGCGGCGUGCUUAACACAUGCAAGUCGAACGAAGAGCGAUGGAAGCUUGCUUCUAUCAAUCUUAGUGGCGAACGGGUGAGUAACGCGUAAUCAACCUGCCCUUCAGAGGGGGACAACAGUUGGAAACGACUGCUAAUACCGCAUACGAUCUAAUCUCGGCAUCGAGGAUAGAUGUAAGGUGGCCUCUACAUGUAAGCUAUCACUGAAGGAGGGGAUUGCGUCUGAUUAGCUAGUUGGAGGGGUAACGGCCCACCAAGGCGAUGAUCAGUAGCCGGUCUGAGAGGAUGAACGGCCACAUUGGGACUGAGACACGGCCCAGACUCCUACGGGAGGCAGCAGUGGGGAAUCUUCCGCAAUGGACGAAAGUCUGACGGAGCAACGCCGCGUGAGUGAUGACGGCCUUCGGGUUGUAAAGCUCUGUUAAUCGGGACGAAAGGCCUUCUUGCGAAUAGUGAGAAGGAUUGACGGUACCGGAAUAGGAAGCCACGGCUAACUACGUG